AAAAAAGAAAGAAAGAAAGAAACGCAAACGCAAAAGAAAAGAAAAAAGAAAACCAAGAAAUACAAGAAUUUUUUUAGGAACGAAUAAUGAAACAAUGGACCAACAUAUCAAAUGCAAUAAUUUAUUCAAAAUUGUAUUAGAGUAAAAAGAACAAACAAAAAAGUGAAAAACCAAAAGGAAGAUGAAAUUGAGAUGAUAAAUCAAUUGAACCCAUCCUCAAUCCUGUGUCUCUGCUACUGCCCAACCACGAGGAGACACACGCACACAGGCACACACAGACAGACAAGAGAAAGACCAAAGAUGAAGAAAAAGAUGAUAUGCCAAGAAAUUGCUUCAAGUGAUCCGAUAAUAAGACUCUAAGCUUAUAGAUCUAAGGGAGAAAGCAGAAAGAUGUGGAAGACGUGGAUGAUCUGGAGACGUGGCAACAGCAACAGCAAACAGUAGCAGCAGCGGCUACAAGAAGAACUACAAUAACACACACAUACACAUCCCCAGUCCCCCAACCAAAGAGAUAUAUAUAUAUGCAUUAGCCAUUGUAUAUACUACGAUUAUAUAUACCUAAGAAUAUAGAGAACUUUGAUUCGAUUGUAAAUACCGCAGCAGCAGCAGAAGCAAUAUAACCAACAAUGCAAAACAGAUCCAAAGAGCAUGCUAGCUUGAAGUAGUCACCCAUCCCAACCGACAGAUCUUUAAGUCACUAAGAACUCCCCCGACCCCCUCCCUAUAGAGCAGACUUUAAGAUGCUUCCUUAAUUUGUUUCCUCCACACAAACACACGAACACAAUCACACUCAACGCAAGGGUUAACGAUUAGCCCAUGGGAAAACGGCAACAAGCAGCAAAGAAAAAAAAUAAUAUAAUUCAAAUUUUUUUUUUUAUUUGUCUAUUUAUAAGUAAAUUAAUGCCGGGUGGAAAGAAGUGCCCCCCCCUACACCAAAAUAAAGUAAUGAAAUGUUAGCAGCAACUGGAGAUAUUGCAACGAAUUUAAAAUGUUGCCAAACUAAACUAAAAA